UCAGAAAGGUCAUUCAACCUAGUACAUACCGGCUGCAGUGGGCAGACAGCUCAGGCAUCCCCAACCCAUCGAACAUCCAGCACCUACGAUGCUUCUACCCUUAGGAUAUAAAAUCUAUGUACUCUUUCAACUUUAUUAUAUUGAAUAAAUAAAACCCCAAAGGUUCUUUGCAUACCUACUACCAUCUCGCUUUCUUAGCUGAGCUCUUAAUCCCACUCGGGGGCUGUCCGACCUGUUCGACAGACC
rnacentral:lncRNA from 1 species